UUCCUCGUGUCUAUUGUCUUGUCUCACAGUGCUUCCUCCCCCUCAACGCUCCUGUUUGGCACUGAGUGUCCAUGAGAGUGAUACAGAUGACUCCGACAGUGACCUGAAUACUAAUAUUAUCUUUUUUUUCCCCCCUUUUCUUUCCUGUGACUGAUACUAGAGCAAAUGGUCACACGAUCCUCGAUGGCCUUUUCUACCUCGUCGCUCCCAAAAAAGAUCAUCUUGAAACUACUCAGCAUUUAGUGCGCAUGACCUGAUGUGACUUGCUCGCUUCCUCUUCACUGAGCCGCCGCCGCCGCCGUCGUCUUCGGCUCAGUUCACAUUGCGUAGCCCGAGAACAAACGUGAUUCUUUUGUACUCUGCUCUUGGAUUGUGUAAUACUAAAAAAUUUAAGGUCU